rnacentral:rRNA from 1 species
UACCAGCACCCCGAGUGGUCGGGACGUUUAUUGGGCCUAAAGCAUCCGUAGCCGGUUCUACAAGUCUUCCGUUAAAUCCAGCUGCUUAACAGAUGGGCUGCGGAAGAUACUAUGGAGCUAGGAGGCGGGAGAGGCAAGCGGUACUCGAUGGGUAGGGGUAAAAUCCGUUGAUCCAUUGAAGACCACCAGUGGCGAAGGCGGCUUGCCAGAACGCGCUCGACGGUGAGGGAUGAAAGCUGGGGGAGGCAAACCGGG